rnacentral:rRNA from 1 species
AUUGAACGCUGGCGGCAUGCUUUACACAUGCAAGUCGAACGGUAACAUGCCUUCGGGUGCUGACGAGUGGCGAACGGGGGAGUAAUGCGUCGGAACGUACCCAGAGACGGGGAAUAACGCAUCCUAAGCUGUGCUAAUACCUCAGGUGAUCGGAUUAUUAAAUCGGGGGACCGACCAGCAAUGUUUGGCCUCGCGCCGUUGAAGCGGCCGAUGUCGGAUUAGCUAGUUGGUGGGGUAAAUGCCUACCAAGGCGACGAUCCGAAGCUGGUCUGAGAGGACGACCAGCCACACUGGGACUGAGAAACGGCCGACACUCCUACGGGAGGCAGCAGUGGGGAAUUUUGGACAAUGGGCGCAAGCCUGAUCCAGCAAUGCCGCGUGCGGGAAGAAGGCCUUCGGGUUGUAAACCGCUUUUGGCAGGAACGAAACAGUGUCCGCUAAUACCGGGCGAUAAUGACGGUACCUGAAGAAUAAGCACCGGCUAACUACGUG